rnacentral:rRNA from 1 species
AUUGAACGCUGGCGGCAUGCCUUACACAUGCAAGUCGAACGGUAACAGGUCUUCGGAUGCUGACGAGUGGCGAACGGGUGAGUAAUGCAUCGGAACGUGCCCAGUCGUGGGGGAUAACUGCUCGAAAGAGCAGCUAAUACCGCAUACGACCUGAGGGUGAAAGCGGGGGACCGUAAGGCCUCGCGCGAUUGGAGCGGCCGAUGUCAGAUUAGGUAGUUGGUGAGGUAAAGGCUCACCAAGCCGACGAUCUGUAGCUGGUCUGAGAGGACGACCAGCCACACUGGGACUGAGACACGGCCCAGACUCCUACGGGAGGCAGCAGUGGGGAAUUUUGGACAAUGGACGCAAGUCUGAUCCAGCCAUGCCGCGUGCGGGAAGAAGGCCUUCGGGUUGUAAACCGCUUUUGUCAGGGAAGAAAAGGCUCCGGAUAAUACCUGGGGCUCAUGACGGUACCUGAAGAAUAAGCACCGGCUAACUACGUGCCAGCAGCCGCAGUAAUAC